AUUGAACGCUGGCGGCAGGCCUAACACAUGCAAGUCGAGCGGCAGCGGGUCCUUCGGGAUGCCGGCGAGCGGCGGACGGGUGAGUAAUGCCUAGGAACCUGCCUGGUAGUGGGUGAUAACGUUCGGAAACGGACGCUAAUACCGCAUACGUCCUACGGGAGAAAGUGGGGGAUCUUCGGACCUCACGCUAUCAGAUGAGCCUAGGUCGGAUUAGCUAGUUGGUGGGGUAAAGGCUCACCAAGGCGACGAUCCGUAACUGGUCUGAGAGGAUGAUCAGUCACACUGGAACUGAGACACGGUCCAGACUCCUACGGGAGGCAGCAGUGGGGAAUAUUGGACAAUGGGCGAAAGCCUGAUCCAGCCAUGCCGCGUGUGUGAAGAAGGUCUUCGGAUUGUAAAGCACUUUAAGUUGGGAGGAAGGGCAGUAAGUUAAUACCUUGCUGUUUUGACGUUACCAACAGAAUAAGCACCGGCUAACUUCGUGCCAGCAGCCGCCGUAAGAC
rnacentral:rRNA from 1 species